UACGUAGGGGCAAGCGUUGUCCGGAUUUAUUGGGCGUAAAGAGCGUGUAGGCGGCCAGUCAGGUCCGUUGUGAAAACUCGAGGCUCAACCUCGAGACGCCGAUGGAAACCGACUGGCUAGAGUCCGGAAGAGGAGAGUGGAAUUCCCGGUGUAGCGGUGAAAUGCGCAGAUAUCGGGAAGAACACCCGUGGCUAAGGCGGCUACUCU
rnacentral:rRNA from 1 species